GACGAACGCUGGCGGCGUGCUUAACACAUGCAAGUCGAACGGAAAGGCCCUGCUUUUGUGGGGUGCUCGAGUGGCGAACGGGUGAGUAACACGUGAGUAACCUGCCCUUGACUUUGGGAUAACUUCAGGAAACUGGGGCGAAUACCGGAUAGGAUCUCCUGCUGCAUGGUGGGGGUUGGAAAGUGUCGGCGGUUGGGGAUGGACUCGCGGCUUAUCAGCUUGUUGGUGGGGUAGUGGCUUACCAAGGCUUUGACGGGUAGCCGGCCUGAGAGGGUGAACGGCGACCUUGGGACUGAGAUACGGACCAGACUGCUACGGGAGGCAGCAGGGGGGAAUCUGGCACAAUGGGCGGAAGUCUGAUGCAGCAACGCCGCGUGCGGGAUGACGGCCUUCGGGUUGUAAACCGCUUUCGCAUGUGACGAAGCGUGAGUGACGGUAAUGGGUAAAGAAGCACCGGCUAACUACGUG
rnacentral:rRNA from 1 species